rnacentral:rRNA from 1 species
CACCAGCCCCUCGAGUGGUGGGGACGUUUAUUUGGCCUAAAGCGUCCGUAGCCGGCUCGUCAAGUCCCCCGUUAAAUCCGGCGUCCCAAGCGCUGGACUGCGGGGGAUACUGUCGAGCUAGAGGGUGGGAGAGGUCAGCGGUAUUCCCGGGGUAGGGGCGAAAUCCUUUGAUCCCGGGAGGACCACCAGUGGCGAAGGCUGCUGGCUAGAACACGCCUGACGGUGAGGGACGAAAGCUGGGGGAGCGAAUCGGAUUAGAUACCCGAGUAGUCCCAGCCGUAAACGAUGCAGGCUAGGUGUUGGGGUGGCCAUGCGCCACCCCAGUGCCGCAGGGAAGCCCUUAAGCCUGCCGCCUGGGGAGUACGGCCGCAAGGCUGAAACUCAAAUGAAUUGACGG